GUGCACCGCACAAAAUCUGACACAGGGAAAGAUAGCAGAAAAUGAAAGAAAAGUCUUUGUGUUGUGUUCAUACGCUGCUUCACUAGAUUGACCUCUCUCUCUCUUUUGUUUGGUACUUCUUCUUUCUAGGUUAGCGCACCUUUCUUGUCUCCAUAGUAGGGGUUGACACUAAGAAUUGAUAUCCCUUGUUUCCCUGCUCAUCAUUUUGAUUCAGGAGGUAGAAUGUGUAUCAGCCAUUAAUGGCACUUUUUUCAUCUCCUUCCAUCGACAGUGUACAACCCUUCCUUGAUUCUGAGGGACCCAGCUGCCAUGCUGUGAGGAAGCUCAGGCUAUCUUUCUGGAGAGAGAGGCAUCCUGAAGAAGCUAUGGAGGGAGACAGAAGGAGGGCACAGAAGAAACACAGGUCGCCCACAGAAUCAAGUUCAGUCCUCAUUCAUUGUUUUAAGCCAUUAAGUUUUGGGUGGAGAUUUGUUACACAGCUAUUGAUAACUGAAACACUCAGAUAGUUUGUGUUCUUCA